CGAACCCAAGCCCUUGGCAGUAAAUGCACAGAGUCCUAACCACUGGACUGCCAGGGAAUUCCCCUUAGAUCUUUAUAUUAAAGAUGCCCCUGCUCUUCAGGAGCUUAAAAAUUAUUCAAAGAGACUGAAAUAAACUUAAUUGCAACAUAAUGUGACCCAACGAAUUACAAAGAGCUGUGGGAUCAUGAAGGAAGGACCCUAACCAAGCAUGAAUAAUGAUAGUCCCUUGCAUUUUAUAUUGACAGUUUACAAAGUGCUGCUCACAUCUCUUACCCAUUUAAUUUUCACGGGAACCCUCUGGGGUAUGAUUAAUUAUCCACAUUUUGCUGAUGAGGAAGCUAAGACUCAGAGAAUUAAAGUGACAGAGUCAUAACCAGAAAGCUGGGCAGCAGCUUAAAAUAAUGAAAAGACCACUAGCCUGGAAGUCUGGACAUUUGGCUUGUGUGUCUGUCACUUGUGACUAUAUGAUCUUAGAUAAGUAACUUUCCCUCUCUGGGUCUUAGUUUUGUCACCUGUAAAGUAAUGUAGUUAGACUAGAAAGGCUCUAAGACCCCUUACAGCUCUGAUAUUCUCUGGACGAGGAGAUAAAGUCUCGGGUUGGGGGGCUCUGGAAUUAGAUAGACUGGUUGUGUGAUUCUGGACAAGUGAAAUAGCCUCAAUGAUUUCAUGAUAAAGUGGAGAUAUUAGUAGGGCCCACCUCAUAGGGUUUUUAUGAGGAUUAAGAGUAGUAAUACACAUGAAUGAAACAUAUUGCCUGGUAAAGAGGAAGUGUUCAACAAAUGUUAGCAACAAUUAUUACUUAUUCUAAGAGUCUGUGCUGGGCCUCUUCCUACCACAGCAGUUGUGCAUGACAGAGCCUGAUUCUGGCCACCCAUGGGGUCUUAAUAGAAACAGAGCUUGUUUUGUAAAGCUUCAGAAUAGUAUUUAAGUAUCUCUUGAAAAUCAGAGACAGUAUGGUAUAAGGGAAAGAAAGAAUCAGUCAAACAUGUCAUAAAAAAAUCCCAGUUUAGGGGACUUCCCUGGUGGUCCAGUGGCUAAGAUUCCGCGGUCCCAAUGCAGCGGCCCUGGUUCGAUACCUAGUCAGGGAACUAGAUCCCACAUGCUGCAACUAAGAGUUCGCCUGCCACAACUAAAAGAUCACACAUGCCACAACUUAAGAUCCCUUGUGCUGCAACGAAGAUCUCACAUGAGGAAACGAAGAUCCCCUGUGCCAUGACAAAGACCCGGUACAGCCAAAUAUAUGAAUAAAUAAAUAAAUAUUAAAAAAAAAUAAAGUGGGUGCAUUAAAAAAAUAUCCCAGUUUAGCUCCUUACCAGCCUUGUGGCCCUAGGCAGAUCACUUCACCUCCCCGUGACUCAGACUCCUAAUUUGUAAAAGUGAAGAUAGAUAGUACCAAUUUUGCAGGGUUGCUCUGAGGCUUGAAUAAGAUUAUGUGUGUAAAGCAUCCAGGACGUCACCAGGACGGCAUGCAGUAGGUAAGAAUGUAGCAGAGAUUGGUGAGACCAAGUGCUAGGUUUCUCUGACUGCUCUUAGGGUAUUUAAAUCUAGAGAUUCUGUGCUCUCUGCUCUCAGGUCUCCAGACCAGUAAAGAUGCCAAGUUUUAUGCCCCUCUCCACCAGGUACAAGAAGCCAUUCAGCAAUGAGAACGAGACCUUGGUGGUUCAGUUUUCAGUAAAACACAAGCAAGGCAUCCAUUGCAGUGGUGGGUUCGUGAAACUCUUUCCUGACACCCUGAACCAGGAGGAUAUGCAUUCAGAAUCCGAGUAUUACAUCAUGUUUGGCCCUGACAUCUGUGGCUUUGGCAACAACAAAGUACAAGUCAUCCCUCAUUAUCAAGGGAGAGAGAUACCAUGAGAACAACAAGACCAUCAAACCCAGGAUUAGAAAAUAGACCCAGAGAAGUGCUGUAAAUUACAGGAUUUCACAUAGAAGCAAUUGGUCUGAAAGCCUAGGAAGUCAUAUCAAUAAAGACACUCACCUGUACACUCUGAUCAUUCGCCCCAAUGCUACUUAUGAGGUCAAAAUUGACAACCAGCAAGUAGCAGCUGGGGACCUGGAGGACGACUGGGACUUCUUGCCUCCCAGGAAGAUAAAAGCCCCCUAUACCCGGAAACCAAGGAAAUGGGAUGAACGCCUACAAACAGAGGAUCCUGAAGAUAAGAAACCUGAGUUUUUCUGAUUAUAUUGAGGAGAGAACCUUAAAAAGGACAUCUAUAAGUGGCAGCAGAGACUAUCAAUCUGAGCUGGGGCAAGAGCCACUGGACAGCAAUUUGGAGCCUAGCAGAAUGAUGAAAAUUUCUUCACAGCCCUCUGAAAGAGUGGUCACAGGCUUGGAGAACACAGAACCUUGGGAAACAGUAACGUAACUUCUUUCUAGAGCAGAUCAGCUAAGGUGGUACAGCAUUCUGGACCCUCUGUGCUCUUAAUCAUCUUUGUAUUCCCUCACUCCACCUCAGUUAUUGAUUAAAAUCUCUGGUCCGUGGCCUGGGAAUCUGCAUUUAGCAAAGCUUCCAGUUGAUUUUUUAAAGCCUUUUGACCUAGUUCUAAUAAUCCCAUUGUUUUCAUUUCAACAGGUGAAAUCAGGCUGCAUCUUUGAUAAUUUCCUUCUUACAAAUAAUGAAGAGUUUGCAGAAGAGGCUGGAAAUAAGACCUGGGGAAUAAGAAAAGACAUAGAGAAGCAAUGGAGAGAACUGUACAAAGAAAUGGAAAAAAGAAAACAGGAAAAAGAGGCCAAGAAGAAAAAGGAAAAGGAGGAAGAAAGGGAAGAUGACAUCUGGGGAAUUGAAGAGGGAAGUGAAGAGGAUUCUGCUGAGGACCCAGGAAAUUACAGGCAGCUGAAGGAAGAUGAUGAUAAAAGAGCAUUUCUGGGUAAAAAUGUAGAAGUCCAUGUUGAUCAGAGGAUGAACUAUAACUGGGUAACAAGUGGUUACUACUCAGAGGCAAAUGAUGUUGCUUAAAAGGUAGAAUGUUCAUGGUUUGGCAAAGUCUGGGGAGCAAAAUUACUUGCUUUCUCUGAAUGAACAUUGAAUUUGGAUUUCUAUAUCCCAUCUCCUUUGCUCUGUAUGACCUUGGGAAAGUCCCAUCACUUCUUGAGGCUUCUCUUGUCAAUGGAAAGGGAGUGAUAAUUCCUGUUUCAUGAGGCUGCUGUAAGGAUUAAAUUAGAUAUGUGUGCAAAGUGCCUGAUAUAAAAAGACAGUCAACAAAUAGUAGCUAUUACUACUUACCAUUAUCAUGGUAUUUAUAAAAUAAUUGACAGUAAAAAAGCCUCUGUAUAAACCUGAGCCUCACUUUCAACUUAUUCCAGUAUAUCCAGUGAUGUUAUUACAGAUGUAAAUCUGUAUUAUUUAGUAUUUACUGAGCAGUUCUGAUAGCUGUAUUUGUGGGCGAUGAUGCUUGAUGUUUUCUCUUGCAGGUGUAUCAAGCACUUAAAAACAAAAUCAGACUUCCUCCUAACAUAAACAAAGAUACUUUGUGAAACUCCUUUUGCUUCUCUGCUGUUUUGUGCAGUAAUUUUAAAUUAAUUAUUACUUGUUUGCAGGUUUGCUGGUUUUAUAGUUAUCCUUUCUGUACCAUUGGCUCACUAUAUUAUUAUAUGCAUUCACAUAGCUCUUUACAGAUCACAAAGCACUUUCCUAUAAAUUUGAGCAACUACUGCAAUGUGCUCAUUUAAUCCUCAGAACAGCCAUUGUAGAGGAUACCAUUAUUAUCUUCCUUUUACAGAUGCAGAAACUGCUAAAAGGAGGCAAGUCACUUGCUCAGGGUCAAAUAACCAGUAAGGGGAGGGACACGUAUCUGAACUCAAGUUUGUCUGGUUCCAAAGAUUAUCCUUCCAUUGCAUUAGGCUGUUUGUUGAAUGAGUGAGUAAAUAUCUAUUACGACUGAGUACAGAUAGUAGGCAAGUCUCACAUGGAAAAAAAUACCCUUUUAACAAAAAUAAUCAUAAAGUAAUUUUCCUCUUUUAAAAAUUUUCUCAAAAAAUAAACAUACAAACAAGUAGCUGCAUGAAGUGUGACAGCCUUUUCAUAAGAAGCUAAUGUGGUUGCCAGGUGUUCAAGGCGACCAUGGUUGAUUCCUGGCCCUACUUACUUAUCAGCUGUAUUACCUUAGGCAAGUAAUCUAACUUGCCUGUGGGAGUUAUUUUCCGUGUCUCAUUUUUCUGUGUCUCAUUUUUCACAUUUGCAAACUCAGCUGUGAGGAUUAAAUGCUGACUCUUCCUUCCUUUAUUUUACUAGGACUACACCAAAAAUUAAUCCCAGUCUAGCUGGAGAGUCAAGCCCAGACACAAUUAUCAUAUUAUAGCACAGGGCUACAAAUUUAGGUCUGGAACAUCAUAGGUGCUCAAUAAAUAUUAGUUAAAAGAAUGAACAAAUCUCUGACUGGUGCUUUCAGGGAAGAGUUCACGAAGGAAGUAACUUUUGAACCAGCUCUUGAAGAAUUCAUGAGUCUGUCUUUCAGAGGAGGAUAUGUGUGAACCAAAUUUCAGAGUCAAAGAGCAGGGCACCUGUAUGACAGGAGUGGGGUGGUGAGGUCAGGGAGAAGCAGCAAGAACUCCUUCUUCCUUCUUUCCCGUAGGUUGGAGUUGGCUGUAGUGUCUGGGCCUGACAAUCUUUGGAAUGUUCUGGUUUGGAAAACUUGCCUUUGCAGGGAGGCAAAACUUUACCUCUUCCCUCUUAGGGUCUUCAGCUGGGCCUUAGAAUUUAGGUAACGUAAGACAGAUGCACUGGAGAAAAACAUACAAAUUUAUUCAAUGUAAGUUUUAUGUGACACGGGAACCCUCAUAAGGAAAUGAAGACCCAAAGAAGUGGCAAAACCUAAAUGCUUUAAUACUAGGUUAAACGAAGAGAGG